AGCAGUCUGCGCAUGCUCGCCAGCCUUCUCCUCAGGCCUGUCGGAGGUCGGUGAAGCCCGCGGAGUGGGCGCAGACGGUAGGGGUGGCCCGUCCCGUUGUCUGCGAGGUUUGGUAAGCUGGUAAUGAGAAUGUCUGUUAUUUUGUUUAACUGCUUUACCCACUCCAUUUUCUCCCUAAAAUCUUUCCAUUGAAAAGGUGCUGAAGUCAAGAUGGCUUCCAGGGCCAGCAGACCUGCAGUCUGUGCAGGAAGCGGGACGCCAACUGUAGCGAAUGAAGAUAUCAGGCUGCGCAGACAGGGACCCUGAAGGACAGUCACACAUGGCACAACGACACGUGGCUAAUGACAGGCUGCGUAUAUGACGGUGAUCCUGUAAGAUAGGACUCCCCUACCACACCUCCCCCCGGGCAAAGGACUGGUGGCCCAAGGCCUGUUAGGAACCUGCGGCAGAGCAGGAGAAAUCUACCAUAAGGAAGAGAUAUCCCUUCUGCUUGUAGGCAUGUAUGUAUGUAUGAAGUAUAUAUGUAUUCAUUCAUUCCCUUAUUCGUUUGUACUAUUAGUGUGGAUUCAUGAGUGUCUGUUUUAUCCUGUGAAUUGCUAAUUACUAUUGCUUAUUUUGUUGCACAAGUUGUCCCAGGCUGGGUCGCUGGCAGCUUCUUUAAGCUGCCUCUUGUUUCUUUCAGUAUUUCCUAAUUAUUUUCUGGGCAGUUCUUUAAUUUCUGGCAUUGUAAGAUGCUCCAACCUAAUCUUGCAUCUUCCCACCAUAGCAUUGGAAUUAAUCAUUUUCUAAGGAGCCCUGGUUUCUUUGAAAAUUCAUAUUUAGGAACCAAUAGCUGCACUCCAGAUAGGCUCAUUGCUAUGGGGAUGUCAUUGCUUCUGGUCCACCUGGGCAGAUGGAGUUAAGGAAAAAAAAAUAUAUAUAUAUGUACAUAUUUUAUAUAUAUACACACAUACAUACCAGCACGCCUGUGUGUGUUUCCAUAUGUAUCUAUAUACACGUAAUAUAAGAUUAUUUAUACGUAUAUUAACCUUAAGUUGAUGUUGAUAUCUGUCACUCAUCCUAUCCUCCCCUUUUCCUUAUUUGUAAUUUCUUUUUCUUCUUUUUUUUAUUUUUGAGACAGGGUCUCUCUUGCCCUGCCCUGGCUGUCACAUGAUCACAGCCCACUCAACCUCCUGGGCUCAAGCAAUUCUUGCGGGGUCUACAGGUAUAUGAUACUACGCUGGGCAAUUUUUAAAUAUUUUGUAGAGUCAAGGUCUCGCCGUAUAGCCCAGGCUGGUCUCAACCUCCUGGGCUCAAGCGAUCUCCCUCCACCUUGGCCUCCUGAAGUGCUGGGAUUACAGGCAUGAGCCACUGCCCUGGGCCUAUAACUUCUUUUUCCAACAAUGAGAAAUCUGGCCCUCUUCACCAUGGUCUAUUUUCUUAUUUGCUUAGUCCUAGACACAAAGUAGUUUCAGAAUUUCUCACCAUACUCCUGUGGAAAACACAUUUCCUGAUGAGAGUAAAAUAUUUGUGUAUAUCUGUUUCUGGCUUUUUUUGUCUUUAGCUUUACAAUGUACAGUCAAUAUUCUGUUUUCCAAAUUCAUAGAGUUUGGCGAUUUUCUUCCCCACGCCUCAGUGUAGUUGUGUUAUCUAUUGAUAAUUGAGUUAGGUUCAUUUUGUACUGUUUGCAUUCUAUUUUGGGUUCCCUCAUCACAGUUGAUUUUAAAUGUUAAUUUGGGCAGGAGGAAUAUGGAAGAGCAUUGUUCUGAGAACCAUAAUUAUAUCAAAAGCUACACCCAGAAGUAUCACUUUCCCCUUUCUCUUCUCAUUCCCUCCUCUCAUUCUUUCCACCCCAAUUCCCACCCAUGCCCUCUAGGUAAAUAAUCUCAUUAAUUUCUCGUUUCUACUUGUUUCUUUUGCACAAGACAGCUGAUACAUGUAUACUUUCCCACAUCUCCUUUCUUUCUUACAUGAAGGAUAAUAUAUUAUACUCUUCUUAUUUUGCUUUUUUAUUUAACAGUAUAUUCUGGAAAUCAGUUCAUACCAAUUUUCAGAGAUCUUUCCCCUUUUUUGGCACAUCUGCAUAAUACUGCAUGUUCCAUGGUUUUCUCAAUGACUACUUAGGUUGUUUCUAAUAUUUUUCAAUAAGAAACGGUAUUGCAAUUAAUAAUCUAAUGCACAUAUAUAUGUAUAUGAGAGGUCUUCAAAAAGUUCAUGGGAAAUGUGUCUUAUGAAAAAACUAUGCAUGAGUUUUAAACUUUUUUGCGUCAAAAUAAACAUGUACUAACUUCUUAAAACAUGUCUGAACAGGUCCAAGUUUGAGGCACUAAGAAGGAUAAGGUAUCAAUUUGAAAAGAGCCCCUAUCAUAGCAAUAUGACUUGAAAGCACAAAG